GAUGAACGCUGGCGGCGUGCCUAAUACAUGCAAGUCGAGCGGACCAAAGAGAGCUUGCUCUCUGAGGUUAGCGGCGGACGGGUGAGUAACACGUGGGUAACCUGCCUGUAAGACGGGGAUAACUUCGGGAAACCGAAGCUAAUACCGGAUGAUAAAGAGAAACGCCUGUUUCUUUUUUGAAAGUCGGCCUUGUGCUGACGCUUACAGAUGGGCCCGCGGCGCAUUAGCUAGUUGGUGAGGUAACGGCUCACCAAGGCGACGAUGCGUAGCCGACCUGAGAGGGUGAUCGGCCACACUGGGACUGAGACACGGCCUAGACUCCUACGGGAGGCGGCAGUAGGGAAUCUUCGGCAAUGGACGAAAGUCUGACCGAGCAACGCCGCGUGAGCGAUGAAGGCCUUCGGGUCGUAAAGCUCUGUUGUCAGAGAAGAACAAGUACCGGAGUAACUGCCGGUACCUUGACGGUACCUGACCAGAAAGCCACGGCUAACUACGUGCCAGCCGCCGCCGUAA
rnacentral:rRNA from 1 species